rnacentral:rRNA from 1 species
GUCGGUCCCAAGGGUUGGGCUGUUCGCCCAUUAAAGCGGUACGCGAGCUGGGUUCAGAACGUCGUGAGACAGUUCGGUCCCUAUCCGUCGCGGGCGCAGGAAAUUUGAGAGGAGCUGUCCUUAGUACGAGAGGACCGGGAUGGACUGACCUCUGGUGUACCAGUUGUUCCGCCAGGAGCACAGCUGGGUAGCUAAGUCGGGAAUGGAUAAACGCUGAAAGCAUCUAAGCGUGAAGCCAACCUCAAGAUGAGAUUUCCCAUUCUUUAUGAAUUAAGAGCCCUGAGAGAUGAUCAGGUUGAUAGGCUGGAAGUGGAAGUCCUGCGAGGGAUGGAGCGGACCAGUACUAAUAGCUCGAGGACUUUACCAA